rnacentral:rRNA from 1 species
AUUGAACGCUGGCGGCAGGCCUAACACAUGCAAGUCGAGCGGAGCUGCGGACGGGUGAGUAAUGCCUAGGAAUCUGCCUGGUAGUGGGGGAUAACGUCCGGAAACGGGCCCUAAUACAGCAUACUAUCAGAUGAGCCUAGGGCGGAUGAGCUAGUUGGUGGGGUAAAGGCCUACCAAGGCGACGAUCCGUAACUGGUCUGAGAGGAUGAUCAGUCACACUGGGACUGAGACACGGCCCAGACUCCUACGGGAGGCAGCAGUGGGGAAUAUUGGACAAUGGGCGAAAGCCUGAUCCAGCCAUGCCGCGUGUGUGAAGAAGGUCUUCGGAUUGUAAAGCACUUUAAGUUGGGAGGCGUUACCAACAGAAUAAGCCCCGGCUAACUUCGUGCCAGCAGCCGCGGUAAUUC